GAAGAAGGUCUCGUUCCCACCCACCCCGUCCCAGUGGGGUGGUAUCGCGAGAGCAAGCGGGUGAGAGGGCCGUAGAGCGGAAGCUGUUCUGCGGCGCUCCGGCUGAGGGCGAAAGAAGCUGCCGAGUGGGGAAGAGGAAGCGUGAGGGGGCCGCUCGGUGCGGAGCCCCAGGACCUUAACGGGUGGACUGGCCUUGGCUGUCUCCGCUGUCUAUGCCAAAUACGGAGCUAGAACUCCAGCAGAGCGGGCGGCGCGGAGGAUUGGAGGAGGAGGAGGAGGAGGAGGCUCAGCCGGGAGUUCCCGGAGAAGGGUUCGGGCAGAGGUCCUUUCCUAUCCUUUCCUAUCCCGUCAUUCCUGCCCAGGAUCGGUCGGAGCAUGGAAGCCGUCGCCAAAUACGAUUUCAAAGCCACCGCAGAUGAUGAGCUCAGUUUCAAACGGGGGGAUAUCCUUAAGGUUUUGAAUGAGGAAUGUGAUCAGAACUGGUACAAAGCAGAACUCAAUGGCAAGGAUGGCUUCAUUCCCAAAAAUUAUAUUGAAAUGAAACCACAUCCGUAAGUAAAAUACCAUGACU